UCCCAAAGCGACAAACUCCUCUGUGCGCUUUACCGCACCUACUACACACUGGAACCUCUGAACCUGAACUCAUGCCACUGCCCAAUCCCAGACCUGCUUUAAUCUUGUUCCAGAACUUAUUCUUCCUCGACUUCUGCGUGGAACCACUCCACUUCUUACCAUUGGAAGUUGCUGCACCCUGUGAAGAGGGAUCUGACUUACCCCU
rnacentral:lncRNA from 1 species